GACGAUCGCUGGCGGCGUGCUUAACACAUGCAAGUCGAACGGAAAGGCCCUGCUUUUGUGGGGUGCUCGAGUGGCGAACGGGUGAGUAACGCGUGAGUAACCUGCCCUUGACUUUGGGAUAACUUCAGGAAACUGGGGCUAAUACCGGAUAGGAGCUCCUGCUGCAUGGUGGGGGUUGGAAAGUUUCGGCGGUUGGGGAUGGACUCGCGGCUUAUCAGCUUGUUGGUGGGGUAGUGGCUUACCAAGGCUUUGACGGGUAGCCGGCCUGAGAGGGUGACCGGCCACAUUGGGACUGAGAUACGGCCCAGACUCCUACGGGAGGCAGCAGUGGGGAAUAUUGCACAAUGGGCGGAAGCCUGAUGCAGCAACGCCGCGUGCGGGAUGACGGCCUUCGGGUUGUAAACCGCUUUCGCCUGUGACGAAGCGUGAGUGACGGUAAUGGGUAAAGAAGCACCGGCUAACUACGUG
rnacentral:rRNA from 1 species